UACGUAGGCAGCGAGCGUUGUUCGGAGUUACUGGGCGUAAAGGGUGUGUAGGCGGUUGUUUAAGUUUGGUGUGAAAUCUCCCGGCUCAACUGGGAGGGUGCGCCGAAUACUGAAUGACUAGAGUGCGGGAGAGGAAAGUGGAAUUCCUGGUGUAGCGGUGAAAUGCGUAGAUAUCGAUCGGAACACCCAUGGCGAAGGCAGCUCGCUGGCCUGCAACUGACGCUGAGGCGCGAAAGCUGGGGGAGCAAACAGG
rnacentral:rRNA from 1 species